rnacentral:rRNA from 1 species
GAUGAACGCUGGCGGCGUGCCUAAUACAUGCAAGUCGAGCGAACAGACGAGAGUGCUUGCACUCUCUGACGUUAGCGGCGGACGGGUGAGUAACACGUGGGUAACCUACCUAUAAGACUGGGAUAACUUCGGGAAACCGGAGCUAAUACCGGAUAAUAUUUAGCUUCGCAUGAAGCAAUAGUGAAAGACAGUUCUGCUGUCACUUAUAGAUGGACCCGCGGUGUAUUAGCUGGUUGGUGAGGUAACGGCUCACCAAGGCAACGAUACAUAGCCGACCUGAGAGGGUGAUCGGCCACACUGGGACUGAGACACGGCCCAGACUCCUACGGGAGGCAGCAGUAGGGAAUCUUCCGCAAUGGACGAAAGUCUGACGGAGCAAUGCCGCGUGAGUGAAGAAGGUUUUCGGAUCGUAAAACUCUGUUGUAAGGGAAGAACAAGUACGUUAGUAACUGAACGUACCUUGACGGUACCUUACCAGAAAGCCACGGCUAACUACGUG